rnacentral:lncRNA from 1 species
AUUAGGCUGUGAGUAUCUCAGGAAAUGACCAUAUCUAAUUCACAAGAGCCUAAGAUGUAGUGAACACUGAAAACAUAUGAGUUGAAUGCAAUGUAGAAAGCGUGGAAUGAUAAACAAAUUGAUUCUGAUCAGUUAGUAUUUCAAGAUAGAAGGAUAGAGAUACAGAUAGAGUAUAGAUAUAAAAAUCCACAUACAGGUAUCUCCAGAUUCACUCACUGAAGCACUUUCCAAUUCAUGAGUCAAUACAUCCCUUCCUAGGAUAAUCUGAAGCUCUGUUGUUUGCAAUGGAAAAUGUUAUAUGCUACAUAUAGCCAUUUUAUUUGCUCUGAAUCUGGAGUUACACUUUGAGCUGUGCUUGGCAUACUGGUUCUUCUACCUGGAUUAGCUUGGGUCACUCAUAUGGUUGUAGUCAUCCGGUAGCUCUGUUGUGAAGUUGAUGCUGGCCAGGUCUCUCUCUCCAUGUGGCUUCUCAACCUCUAGAGCGUAAAUACAGGGUUUCCCCCGCCUCUUCCCCCACCUCCUCAGGGUUUAGACAUUCUAACAGGGAACAAACUGAAGUGGCAAGGGUUCUUGAAGCCUACGCCCAGAAGUGGUCCAAUGACUCUUCUGCCAUAUUCCAUUGGCCAAAGCACACCUUGAGGCAAGCUUACAUCACAAGGAUAGAAAAUUACACUGCAC